rnacentral:rRNA from 1 species
UACGUAGGUGGCAAGCGUUGUCCGGAUUUACUGGGCGUAAAGAGCGCGCAGGCGGUCGUUCAAGUCGCGUGUGAAAGCCCCCGGCUCAACUGGGGAGGGUCACGCGAUACUGAUCGACUCGAAGGCAGGAGAGGGAAGUGGAAUUCCCGGUGUAGUGGUGAAAUGCGUAGAGAUGUGGAGGAACACCGAUGGCGAAGGCAGCCUCCUGGGCCAGCACUGACGCUCAUGCACGAAAGCGUGGGGAGCAAACAGG